rnacentral:rRNA from 1 species
AGAGUUUGAUCAUGGCUCAGAGUGAACGCUGGCGGCGUGCUUAACACAUGCAAGUCGAACGAGAACGGGCCUAGCUUGCUAGGCUGUCAGCUAAGUGGCGGACGGGUGAGUAAUGUAUAGUUAAUCUGCCCUUUAGAGAGGAAUAACUACUGGAAACGGUAGCUAAUACCUCAUACUCCUUUUACCUUAAUGGUAAUUGGGAAAUGUUUUUUCGCUAAAGGAUGAGACUAUAUGGUAUCAGGUAGUUGGUGGGGUAAGAGCCUACCAAGCCAAUGACGCCUAGCUGGUCUGAGAGGAUGAUCAGCCACACUGGAACUGAGACACGGUCCAGACUCCUACGGGAGGCAGCAGUGGGGAAUAUUGCACAAUGGAGGAAACUCUGAUGCAGCAACGCCGCGUGGAGGAUGAUGCAUUUCGGUGUGUAAACUCCUUUUAUAUGGGAAGAUAAUGACGGUACCAUAUGAAUAAGCACCGGCUAACUCCGU